ensembl:lncRNA LINC02078 long intergenic non-protein coding RNA 2078
GGCGGGAGGGACACGCCGAUGGGAACAUCCCAGCUGGUCCAGGCCUCUGCUCCCCCCAGCUCCUCCUCCCUGGCGGGCAGCUCUUCUGGGCUCCUGAGGUGCUGCGCAGCCCCUUCCCUGGCCCUGGGACCCCCAGUGCCUGAGAUGAAAGAGGAGUUGCUUCCAUGGACGGUCCCAGUGCAAGCUGGGGGGCGCUGGCCUCAGGACACCAGGCAUCCAAGACAUAGGGACACCAGAAGCCCCGGCUCUGCCUCUGAGGUCCAGCAGCCCCAAAGCCCCUGCUCAGAAGCCAGCGAUGGGAGGGCAGGGCCUGCCUGUGGGACCCAUCAUGGGCGCAGCAAUCGCCAGGCCCUGGGCAGACAGCAGCACAGCCUGUGAGUCCAGGGCUGGGGAGCAGGCAGGUGACAACCAGUGUCCUACUUUCCUGCAUUAAAACACCCAAAUCAACAGGACGGAGAAGGCCCGGAAGAGGGGACCUGAGGGAGCCAGCCGGGCGCUCAGCCUGCUUCGCUGGGAUGCUUGUCGAGGUCGGGACGGCACCACCAAACUCACCUCUGUGCGCCCUGCGGGGCCCAGGAGACUCGGUCCUCCCUGGGCUCCCCCAGGCCUGGGGUGGACGUUGGAAUAAAGUGGGGACAACACGAUGAGAGACCCCAGCCCUGGAGGUGCCCUCGGCCAAAGCCCGAGAUCAAAGCUGGGAGAUUCGUGGCUGGACAGCACCACCUGGUGGACACGUUGGAGAUUACCAAAGCCGAACAGUCAAUUCGUUCUUGGUUCUGGGAUUUUCUUAAUUGGGUCUUAGCUGGGCCUUCCUUUCUCUUUCCCCAGUAGCAGGGGCUUUGUGACUAUCAGAAACACCUGCCAGGCCUGGGCAAUAUGGCGAGACCUCAUCUCUACAAAAAAAAAAAAAAAAACACAAAAAUUAGUGAGGCGUGGUGGUCCCAGAUACUCAGGACACUGAGAUGGGAGGAUCGCUUGAACCCGGGAGGUCGAAGCUGCAGUGAGUCGUGAUCAUGCCACUGCACUCCAGUCAGGGUGACAGAGAGAGACCCUGUCUCUAAAGAAAGAAAAGGCCGGGAGCAGUAGCUCACGCCUGUAAUCCUAAUACUUUGGGAGGCCGAGGCGGGAGGAUUACCUGAGGUCGGGAGUUCGAGACCAGCCUGACCAACAUGGAGAAACCCCAUCUCUACUAAAAAAUACAAAAAUUAGCCAGGCAUGGUGGCGCAUGCCUGUAAUCCCAGGUACUCGGGAGGCUGAGGCAGGAGAACCACUUGAACCUGGGAGGCAGAAGUUGCAGUGAGCCGAGAUCACACCAUUGCACUCCAGCCUGGGCAACAAGAGUGAAACUCCGUCUCAAAAAAAAAAAAAAAGAAAGAAAGAAAGAAAAGAGAAGAAGUCCUUGUCUUCUAAUAAGAUGUUGUUGGUUUCAGAGAGCCCAAUCCAGGCACUUCAAACAAGGCAGGGAAAUCAAUGGCCCUGAAGAAAGUUUCUCUUCGACAAGCCCCUCCCUCCCUGACACUGGCAUUCUGGCAUUCACCCACCAGCCCCUCCGUCCCUGACGCUGGCACCCUGGCAUUCACCCACCAGCCCCUCCCCUCCCUAAUGCUGGCACCCUGGCAUUCACCCACCAGCCCCUCCCCUCCCUGAUGCUGGCACCCUGGCAUUCACCCACAAGCCCCUCCGUCCCUGACGCUGGCACCCUGGCAUUCACCCACCAGCCCCUCCCCUCCCUGAUGCUGGCACCCUGGCAUUCACUCACCAGCCCCUCCCCUCCCUGACACUGGCACCCUGGCAUUCACCCACCAGCCCCUCCGUCCCUGACGCUGGCACCCUGGCAUUCACCCACCAGCCCCUCCCCUCCCUGAUGCUGGCACCCUGGCAUUCACCCACCAGCCCCUCCCCUCCCUGAUGCUGGCACCCUGGCAUUCACCCACCAGCCCCUCCCCUCCCUGACACUGGCACCCUGACAUUCACCCACCAGCCCCUCCCCUCCCUGAUGCUGGCACCCUGGCAUUCACCCACCAGCCCCUCCCCUCCCUGACGCUGGCACCCUGGCAUUCACCCACCAGCCCCUCCGUCCCUGACACUGGCACCCUGGCAUUCACCCACCAGCCCCUCCCCUCCCUGAUGCUGGCACCCUGGCAUUCACCCACCAGCCCCUCCGUCCCUGACACUGGCACCCUAGCAUUCACCCACCAGCCCCUCCCCUCCCUGACACUGGCACCCUGGCAUUCACCCACUGUCUGGGGCAACUACCCUUUCCUCCCACCACUGAUGGGACGGCACCCUGGCACCCUGGCCUACCAGUUUUGAGGGGAAAAAAAUUAGAAAUCUUUGGCCAAAGAGGGGACAAAUUGAGCCUAAAAUCAAGCCUUGGUGUCUCACUUUUUAAAUCUACUUUUACCUUUUGUGUAUUGGUUGUGUGAUUUUUUGUGUACUCAUUGUGUAUGAUUGCUGAAUACACAAUGAAUACACAAAAGCUAUAAAUAGAUUUAAAGAGAGAAAGCAAACCAAAACCCAUCGGUAAUCCACUGGAAAAACAAGCCUCCAACUCUAUUCAGAACAUUGUCAAUUAAAAGAAAAGAAUUAAGAAUUUCCCUUUUAAACUAUAUUUCAGGAUAACUCAAUAACUCUAGUGGACAACAGCAAGUAUUUUUGGUUUUUGUUUGUUUGGUUUCUUUUUUUUGAGAUGGAGUCUUGCUCUAUUGCCCAGGCUGGAGUGCAAUGGCACAACCUCGGCUCACUGCAGCCUCUGUCUCCUGGGUUCAAGUGAUUCUCCUGCCUCAGACUCCUGAGUAGCUGGGAUUACAGGCGCCCGCAACCAGGCCCUGCUAAUUUUUUGUAUUUUUAGUAGAGUUGGGGUUUCACCAUGUUGGCCAGGCUGGUCUCAAACUCCCGACCUCAGGUGAUCCACCCACCUCGGCCUCUCAAAGUGCUGGGAUUACAGGUGUGAGCCACCACACCCAGCCUGUUUGGUUGUUUUAUUUAAGAGACAGGGUCUCGCUCCAUCGCCCAGGCUGAAGUGCAGUGGUGUAAUCACAGCUCACUGCAGCCUUAACCUCUUGGGCUCAAAGGAUCCUUCUGCCUCAGCCCCCGAGUAGCUGAGACUACGGGCGCGCACCACCACACCUGGCUAAUGUUUUAUUUUUUUGUAGAGAUGGGGUCUUGCCAUGUUGCCCAGGCUGGAUUCAAGCUCCUGGCCUCUCUCACCUUGGCCCACAAAAGCUCUGGGAUUACAAGCGUGAGCCACCGUGCCCAGCCUUUUUUGUCGUUGUUGUUUUUAACAGAACAAUUUCAGCUACUCAUUGUGAAGGAGAUGAGAUCAUGAGAGAAACCAUGAUUUUGCCACCUCUCAUGACAUAAGUAUUUCUCGCAAGGGUCAUGGAUGAGAUCAGUAAUGACAAAACUAGGGCAUCACAGGGUGGAUCCGGGCUAUGACCACCUGGACCCACGGGGCACACUUAGCAUCACAGGGUGGGCCCAGGCUGUGGCCACCUGGACCCACGGGGCACACUUAGCAUCUCAGGGUGGGCCCGGGCGAUGGCCACCUGGACCCACGGGGCACACUUAGCAUCAGAGGGUGGGUCCGGGCGAUGGCCACCUGGACCCACAGGGCACACUUAGCAUUACAGGUGCUUCCAUGUGGCUCUCACAGCUCUGCCCACGAAGGCUUCUGGCAAAGAAAGAUGAGCCUGAAUCUAAGGGCGUUUCUGCGGCACAGCUUCCAUUUGCAGGAGACACGGGGCGAGGCGACACCACAGAGAGGCAAACAGCAGCGCGAUAGGCCACACAUUUGCAGGACAGCUGAUCUGGUUUCUGCAACAAAUCACAAGUGGUGGGAGGAGCAAUGGGGGUCGGGGGCGGCGCCUGAUCUAGAGUAAGAGAGGUUCAAGAGGCGCCACCACAAAACUUAAACUUUGGGCCUUGUUAGGAACCUGUGUGUUCCAUCUGAUGGACGUAAGCAAACAAUCAGGGGAAUGUGAUUCUGGAUGGGGCCUGAGCGGGUGCCAAGGAAUGACUGUUAAUUUGAACAUUGCCCUAAGGGAACCGCAAGUGUGUUCCAGAGUUUCCCGUACUUGGCGCCUUGCAACCUGAAGUUCAUAGGAAGAAAAUUUCAGAACGUUUUUGCUACAGGAUGGAAAGUGCUUCAGCCACAGGGGAAAAGCAAAGAGAAAGACAACAGCAAUGCAUGAAACAAGUGUGGCGAUUAUCGAUAAAGUAUGUGUGGUGAUCACUG